rnacentral:rRNA from 1 species
GUCCUAGCCUUAAACGAUGAAUGCUUGGUGUCUGGGGUUUUAGUCCCCGGGUGCCGGCGCUAACGCAUUAAGCAUUCCGCCUGGGGAGUACGCACGCAAGUGUGAAACUCAAAGGAAUUGACGGGGACCCGCACAAGCGGUGGAGCAUGUGGUUUAAUUCGACGCAACGCGCAGAACCUUACCUAGACUAGAAUGCUCCUGACAACCCCGUAAUGGGGGCCUUCCGGGUAAAACCGGACAGGAUGCAAGGUGCUGCAUGGCUGUCGU